ensembl:lncRNA
CACCAACUCCUGGAGCUUACUCAAACUCACGUCCAUUGCGUCGGUGAUGCCAUCCAACCAGCUCAUCCUCUGUCAUCCCCUUCUCCUCCCGCCUUCAGUCUUUCCCAGCAUCAGGGUCGUUUCCAAGGAGUCAGUUCUUCGCAUCACAUGGCCAAAGGAUUGGAGUAGAGUGUGAACCUCCGUGAUGUUCUCUGCCUCAUGGCUGCACCAAUUUCCAUUCCCACCGACUCUGCAGGAAGGCUCCCUUCGCUCCCCGCCCUGGAAGGGACCGUCUUGAGCAUCCCCGAGCUGAGCUGUACUCUGUCCGUGACCCGGAACUUGUCCCUGGAAUUCAGAGAAAGUGCAGAGCUGAGGUUACCGGACAAGCAAAGCCCUUGGGGGUAGGAUGCUUAUGCCAAAGCUACCUGGGAAGUAUGUGAAGAUGGUUCUGCCCUUGACCUUCCAAGGAGCCAGGAAGACUCAUCAGACAUGUAGUAGGAGCUGGGUGUGGGCUGACUUCUGACAGGGCUGUGAGCAAAGCCAGCUCCAUCUUUUAAGAAGAUAUCUGGGUCUCUACGCCAAAAACUCAAAUCAGUCUUCCCAAGACCAGGGAUUGAAUCACUCCCAUAGAAAAUGAGAUUAAGAAGGGAAAAGCAUUUCAGAAAAUGCUACUGGAAAAAAAGUCCAGAAGGCUCAGCAUAAUCCUUUGAAAAGAUGCUUUUACAGGAGUGUGAUGAGGGGCGUGUGUGAAAGUGAAAGCGUGAGUCACUCAGUCGUGUCUGAGUCGUUGCGGCCCCAUGGACUGUAGCCCGCCGGCUCCUCUGUUUGUGGGAUUCUCCAGGCAGGAACAUUGGAGUGGGUUGUCAUUUCCUUCUCUAGGGGAUCUUCCCUACCCAGGGAUCAAACCUGGGUCUCCUGCAUUGCAGGCAGACGCUUUACCAUCUGAGCCACCAGUGCGAGAGCUUUAUUGUAUAAUUACAGACCGGGAGCCAGAGAAAUCAUGAGAGUUAGUAGGGUAUGCUCUGGGCGAACUUAAAAGAUGCUCUAAUUCCAAGAGAAACACAUACAACACGUAAAAAUGUCAGCUUCCAUGUAGUUGCAACGUUAUAUUAACAUCACUGUGCGUUCCCUCCUCGGUCAGUGAGAUCCUCCUUUCUCUCCAAGAGUCUCUGACUUCCCAGCAGCUUCAUCAUCUGAGAACGCACAGGCGUGGGCAUUCGUCAGCAGAGGCGGCCCGGACAGACACCCCACGGGGGCACAGGUGAUAACACUGUUGUUCAGAAAGACCACCUACUGAUGGGCAUAAUGGUGACCUGAAAAAGGCCCUUUCUAAACGAGAGAGGCAGCGCUUCCCUGGCGGUCCAGUGGUGCAGAAUCCUCUGGCCAACGUAUGGGACACAGGUUCAAUCCCCUGGUGGGGAAGAUCCCAGGUGCCUCCUGGCCAGAAACCCAGAACAUAAGACAGAGGCAACAUUGUAACAAAUUCAAGAAAAGACUUUCAGAAUGGUUUACAUCAAAAAAAAAAAAAAAAAACACCUUGAAAAACGUAAAUAGUCCAAUUUAAGGUAGGCAAACAAUAGGAAUGGGCAUUUUCCCAGAUCAAAGAAUAGCCAAUAAGCCAAUGAGAAGAUGUUCACUUCCAAGGAAUUGCAUAGCCAGCAUGAGAUAGCCCUCCACACACACUAGAGUGGCCAUAAUAAAAAAAAGGGAUUAACAAGUGUUACGGUGGAGAGAAAUUGGAAACCCCAUCGUGCUUGUCUGGAUAUAAAAUUGUGCACCACUCUGGAAAACCACUUGGCAUAGGUUUUAACGUAGACUUACCGUGUGACCCAGCAAUUCCAUGUUUAUUUCUGUACCCGAGAAAAAGGAACACGUGUCUACACAAAGACCUGUGCAUGGAUAUUCAUAGCCACAUGACUCAUAAUAAAAAACAGAAACGACCCAAAUACCCAACCACUGAUGAAUGGAUUAGUAAAAGGUGCUCUGAUUACCUCAUGAAACACUUUCAAUAGAAGGAAUGAAAUGUCCACACAGCUGUGUUUAACAUGGAGAACCAGCAAGGACCUGCUGGACAGCACAGGGAGCUCUGCUCAAUACUCUGUAAUAACCUUAUGGUUCCCAGGGGGAAGGAUGGGGGAAAGGAUAGGGAGUUUGGGAUGGAUAUGGACACACUGCUGUAUUUAACAUGGAGAACCAGCAAGGACCUGCUGAACAGCACAGGGAACUCUGCUCAAUGCUCUGUGAUAACCUUAUGGUUCCCAGGGGGAAGGAUGGAGGAAGGGAUAGUUAGGUGGUUUGUGAUGGACAUGGACACAUUGCUGUAUUUAACAUGGGAGAUCCAUAAUUUUGUGAAUAUACUAAAAACCACUGAAUUACUUUUGAAGAAAAGUACACGUACCCACCCCCCAAUAUUCAUAGCAGCAUUAUUUACAAUUAGCAAGACGUGGAAGCAAUGUAAGUGCAUCAACAGAUGAAUGGAUGAAGAAGAUGUGAUAUGUAUAUACAAUGGAAUACUCCUCAGCCAUAAAAAAGAAUAAGAUAAUGCCAUCAGCAGCGACACAGAUGGAUGUAAAGAGUGUCGUACUGCGUGAGUCACAGAAAGAUAGACAGCAUAUGGUAUCACUUAUGUGGGGAAUCUGAAAAUGAAGAUAAAUGACCUUAUCUGUGAAACACACACAGACUCACAGAGACAGAAAACUAACUUAAAAUUAUCAAACAAGAAAGGAGGGGUAAGUCAGGAAUUUGUAACACACACACUACUUUGUAUAAACUAGACUAAUGGCAGGAACCUACUGUACAACCCGGGAAACUGUUCAAUAUCUUGUAAUAAUUUAUACUGGAAGAGAUUCUUAAGAAGUAUAGAGUUGCCAUUUCCUACUCCAGAGACUCUUGUCAAGUCAGGCAUUGAACCUUCACCUCCUGCAUUGGCAGAUGAACGCUUUAUCACUGCACUGUCUGGAAAGCCUAUACACACACACACACGUGUACAUCGAAUUAAAAACCAGAGACAUCACUUUGCCAGCAAAGGUCCACCUAGUCGAAGCUAUGGUUCUUCCAGUAGUCAUGUAUGGAUGUAAGAGUUGGACCAUAAAGAAGGCUGAGCACCAAAGAAUUCAUCCUUUUGAACUGUGCUGCUAGAGAAGACUUGAGAGUCCCUUGGACUGCAAGGAGAUCCAACCAGUCCAUUCUGAAGGAGAUCAGUCCUCAAUAUUCAUUGAAAACAUUGAUGCUGAAACUGAAGCUCCAGUGCUUUGGCCACCUGAUGUGAAUAGCUGACUCACUGGAAAAGACCGUGAUGCUGAGAGAAGAACUGAGGGCAGGAGGAGAAGGGGAUGACAGAGAAUGAGAUGGUUGGAUGGCAUCACUGACUCAAUGGACAUGAAUUUGAGCAAGCUCUGGGAGAUGGUCACGGACAGGGAGGCCUGGCAUGCUGCAGUCUGUGGGGUCACAAAGACUCAGACACGACUGAGCGACUGAACAACAAUCACUUAUAUGUGGAAUCUUUAAAAAGUUACAAACUAACUAACAAAAGAGAAAUAGAUCCACAGAGAACAGACACCUUUGCCAAGAAGAAGGUGGGGGAGUGUACUGGGAGGUCUUGAUUACACAUGCAAGCCACUAUACAGAGAAUGGAUUAAGCACAAGGUCUUUCUGUACAGCACGGGGAACUAUAUUCAAUAUCCUAUCAUAAAGCCUAAUGGAAAACAAUAUGAAAAAGAAUAUAUCCAUACUGAAACACGCACGCACAUAUAUAAAACUGAAUCGCCUUGCUGUACAGCUGCAACUAACACACUAUUAUAAAUCAACUCCAUUCCAAUAAAAUCAUUUUCUUUAAAGGGCAUUUGGAAGAAGGAGCUGAGAUGUCCCUGUACCAGCGUAAUGCCCGUGGGUUGAUUAAAAACUCCAGAGACAUAAAAUUGUCUGUUGUUCAGUCACUCCGUCGUGCCUGACACUCUGGGGCCUCGUGGACCGCAGCACGCCAGGCCUCCCUGUCCAUCACCAACUCCCGGAGCUUGCUCAAACUCACGUCCAUUGAGUGGGUGAUGCCAUGCAACCAUCUCAAGAGAGAAUUAAAAGCCUGCUGCCUGGCACCGCACGUCAGACUAUGCGACCCCGGAUCCUCGAGCUGAGUGAGCACGUUGACGACCUUGAAAGGUCAGCCCCGUCUGCGUUUUUUUCCCCCCGGUGUCGUGGACGAGCGCCAGGAGGUCGGUGAAGCUCUCCGUGGAGGCAUCCAGCUGCUCUCCCGAGACGGGUGUCAUCAUCGUUCCCUCGGGAAACGCAUGGGAAGGCGGCCUCCGGGAUGCCAGGCACCUUCAGGACCGCGCUCAGCCCGGGGUUCGCCGUGGGGGGCUCCCUCCAGCCUGGGCGUGACGCUCCGUUCUGUCUUUGGAGACUCGUGCUUUCUGAGCGCCAGGCACAGCGGGCAGUGACGCACGGUCACGCCAAGAACAGAACGUGCGUGCGUGAGUCCGCACGGAUGGAAACGCGAGGCGCGCUGGGAUUCUCGCAGAGCUGUGGACGCAGCGGGGGAAGGAGAGGGCGCGAUGAGCUGAGACGCAGCGAUGAGCUGAGACGCAGCGAUGAGCUGAGACGCAGCGAUGAGCUGAGACGCAGCGAUGAGCUGAGAGAGUGGCCGUGACGCCUAUACCUCGCCGCGUGUCAAACAGACAGCCAGUGGGAAGCUGCUUCAUAGCUCAGGGAGCCCAGCUCAGGGCUCUGUGAUGACCUGGGGGUGGAGACAGAUGGGUGGCGGGUCAAGACAGAGGGGAAACAUGUAUACAUAUGCUGAGCCACGUUGCCUAAAGCAGAAACCAACUCAACCUUGUAAAGCCAUUAUUUUUGCUCCGUCACUCAGUCAUGUCUGACUCUGCGACCCCCACGGACUGUAGCCCCACCAGGCUCCUCUGCGCAUGGGAUUCUCCAGGCAACGAUGCUAGAGUGGAUGGCUAUUUCCUCUUCUAGGGGAUCGAACCCCCGUCUCCUGCAUUGGCAGAUAGAUUACUUACCACUAAGCCACCAGGAAAACUGAAAGCAGUGACCCUCCAAAGAAAAAAUAAAGGAGAUGGAGUGAAGAAACACAUGGAGAAUUUCCAUGCAGAAGAAGUCCCGAUAAUUUAUGUAAAUCCCAAGGACAUAAGGAGAUGGGGUGUAGCUCCCGACUUCUGAAGGCUGGGCCGGAUCACGUGACUUCCUCGCCAAGGGGGAGAAAGAGACACCCGAUGGUGGAGACGCUGGUGGACACAGCGUGAGCAGAUGACCAAGGUCAACAUCAGCGGUGAUGAGUCACACAGCCAGCUGCAUGCUGGACGUGAUGUGAGGAGAACGGGACCUCAGCUCUGUGACCUUCCUUCUCCAAACCCGAAACUCCAGCCCACCCCCGAGAAGAACGUCACACAAACCCAAACGGAGGGGCAUCCGAGAAAAUGCUCUUCAGAACAAGGAAUGUCAAGGUCAUCAAAGGUGAAGACAGUCAGAAACCACCACAACCAGAGGAGUCCAAAGAGACAGGAAAACUGAAUAUCACAAGGGAGCUGGGAUGGGGCUCCUGGCACAGAAAAAAAGGACAUUAGGGAAAACGAAGGACAUUUGAAUAAUGCAUGGACUUGAGUGAAUGAUCGUGUAUCCAUAUUGGUGCAUGAGUUGUAACAACAGUACCUGGCUCAGAUAAGAUGUAACUGACAUGGGGAAGAAAAGAUAGGAACAAGCAACAAAGGUUUAUUGUGUAGCAAAGGGGACUAGUCAGUAUCUUGUAAUAACCUACAGUGGAAAACGAUUCCAAAAAUUAUACAUAUAUAUACCUGAAUUACACACACACACAAAACAAAUUUACUUUUUGAAAUUUAGUAAUGUCUUUCUUUCUGCCAGUUUUUUAAAAUACUCUGUAGACAUCUAAUAACAUGUGAUGUACAAAAUUUUCAAUAUAUUUGUGCAGGAUAUAAGAUUAACUUGUGCUUUCCAGGUGGCUCAGAUGGUAAAGUGUCUGCCUGCAACGCAGGAGACCUGGGUUCCAUCCCUAUGUCGGGAAGAUCCCCUGGAGAAGGGAACAGCUACCCACUCCAGUAUUCUGGGUUGACUAAUUCCAUGGACUGUAUAGUCCAGUCAAUAGGAUAGCAAAGAUGGGACACAGUUGAGGGACUAACACAGACAUAACAUUAAUAUAAAUAAAUACACAUAGAAAUACAUUUUAAUUAUUGUUGAGAUCAUUCAAGAUGGUCUUGUUCUUACUUUUCUGCAC